CGCUCCCGUGACGCUGAUUUGCUCGGGCGUGAGUUACGUAAAUUACGAAGAGCAACUAACUCAAAGUAAUCACAACAAAUAUUGCAUGACCGUUGCCUUGAAAGGUAUAAAAGCACUUAUCCAGGGGGGGUCCUCAUACACUUGUCCUGCUCCUGAUGCCACCCUGCUGUCCCACCCUGACUGUGCUGUUGUAUAGGAAUAUACACCCCAGUGGAUCCUCUGCAGUGAAUGGGUUCUGUCAGAAUGAGAGUCAGAUGUCUGAACAAGGUGCAAAAUAGUCCGUUUAAGCCCAGAUGUGCUGUUGAUUCCAGCAGGAGGAUGAUGGAAGAGAGAGGUUGAGACACUAUGAUUCCCUUCUUGCAUAUUCAUGGAUGGGUUUCAAACGCUUCAAUUAUUCAGUUGGAUGGAUUUUCUUAAGGAGCUGUCCCAUGAACUGUCCACCUUGAACUGAAGGAAACGCUUGAGCUACUUUGCUGUAGAGCCACAAUCUGUGCACCGAGGAGGCAGAAUCACACAGCCCACUGAGCGCAGCCCUUCACAAACAGCUUCUUGUAGUGCCACUACAUGUAUUUUGGUGGGAAGGGGGCGGAAGCUGCUCCCUGCACAUCUCAGUGUGCCAGAAAGUGUUAUCAGUUCAACGUUAAUGCAUGUGUCUUGACACAUCACUUUAUCAUUGUGUGUAAAUCAAUGAGAAACUGACGCUGAAUUUAAAUGAGACAUCCUGUUGCUUAUGUCUGUUGCUUGAGUGCAUCUUGAGGAAAUUUUCUGAAAGGGUCAUUUGCGUAUUUCCUCCCUUAAUUAAAAAUAAAAAAAAUUCCAA